rnacentral:misc_RNA from 1 species
AAAAAAAGAAAGAAAGAAAAUAAAAAAGUAGCCAGCACCAUCAUUUGAAUAAAUACUACUCCAGUGGGAGUAGAAUCACCUUCAGUAUGUAAAUGUUUACCUGAUAAAAUGAUAGCUAUCUGAAGAAAACAGGGAAUUGAUACAGAUUCUAUUGCCAAAGAAUUGAACUUUAAAUAAAAAAAAAAUCUAAUGAUCCUGACAAAGUAUAAGUCAUAAUUUCCUGAAUUUGGUUAUAAGCAUAGCCACAAUCACAAUAUGUCACAAAAAUACAAAAGAAAAGUGAAGAGGAGG